rnacentral:rRNA from 1 species
CUGCUGCCUUCCGUAGGAGUUUGGGCCGUGUCUCAGUCCCAAUGUGGCCGUCCACCCUCUCAGGCCGGCUACUGAUCGUCGCCUUGGUGGGCCUUUACCCCGCCAACCAGCUAAUCAGACGCGGGUCCAUCUUGCACCACCGGAGUUUUUCACACUGUCCCAUGCGGGACCGUGCGCUUAUGCGGUAUUAGCACCUAUUUCUAAGUGUUAUCCCCCAGUGCAAGGCAGGUUACCCACGCGUUACUCACCCGUCCGCCACUAAG